AGAGUUUGAUCCUGGCUCAGGACGAACGCUGGCGGCGUGCUUAACACAUGCAAGUCGAGCGAUGAGAUCACUUCGGUGAUGGAUUAGCGGCGAACGGGUGAGGAACACGUGAAGAAUCUGCCUUUCAACUCUGGGAUAACUCCGGGAAACCGGGGCUUAAUACCGGAUAUGAGCCUUGAUCGCAUGAUCGGGGCUGAAAGUUUUUCGGUUGAAGAUGACUUCGCGGCCUAUCAGCUUGUUGGUGAGGUAAUGGCUCACCAAGGCGACGACGGGUAGCCGGCCUGAGAGGGCGACCGGCCACACUGGGACUGAGACACGGCCCAGACUCCUACGGGAGGCAGCAGUGGGGAAUAUUGGGCAAUGGAGGAAACUCUGACCCAGCGACGCCGCGUGCGGGAUGAAGGCCUUCGGGUUGUAAACCGCUUUCAGCAGGGAAUAAGCGCAAGUGAAGGUACCUGCAGAAGAAGCACCGGCUGACUAUGUGCCAGCAGCCGCGGUAAUACAUAGGGUGCAAGCGUUGUCCGGAAUUAUUGGGCGUAAAGAGCUCGUAGGUGGUUUGUUACGUCGGUGGUGAAAUUCAGGGGCUCAACCCCUGACUUGCAGCCGAUACGGGCAAGCUAGAGUUUGGUAGGGGAG
rnacentral:rRNA from 1 species